rnacentral:lncRNA from 1 species
AUGAGGGUGAUCUUCUUCACUCAGUCUACCAAUUCAAAUGUUAUGUCUUCCAGAAAUACCCUCAUGGACAAAUCCAGAAAUAAUGUUGUACCAGCUAUAUGGACAUCCCUUAGCCCAGUCAAGUUGACAAUAAAAUUAAGCAUCACACAUGGCAAGAGGAAGUUUAUUAGGGGCUUCAGAUGUUUCGGCAGCAUGUUUUCAGGGAGCGAACGCAUCUUGGAAGUUUCUUUACUGAAUGCAAUUCAGGUAAAGAAUACAUUAUCUCUGCCAGGAUUUGGCCAAAGCAUACUCACCCUUUCCCUUCGAUUCUGCUGGCUUCUGCUAGGAAGACCAUUGCUCCAGAGCAGCCACACUCUGUGAUGUCCUAUUCCCUCGCCUGGAGUCCUUAAGGUCCAAAGACCAGCUCUAAGUCAAUGAGCAGCAUUUUAUCAUUUGUAAAAGGACAAAAAAUCAAAAACACAAACCCUAGACCUUGUGGCUCUUUGCCAAAGAAGCUGAAUUUAUAUGAGAGGGUCUCCCGUAUGGUCCACCUCUAGUUAUUUGGGGUGAUGUUGAAGAGGAAAGGAUGGCCAGGGAUGAAUGAAGUUCACAGAGUGCUCACAAACCACAUUUUAUCUGACGUGCUGUUUCACCAGUUUAAGUUGUUAAAAAGGACUCAUAUUGACUUAUCUGAGUUAAUCAAUGUCUCCUUUCCUGGUCCUCCCACGGGGAGGUGUGCUAAUGGGUAGGGGAUGAGUGAGAAGGAGGCAGUGGGCAGGAAGAGGAAGAAAAACGAAGCCCCAAACUGAGCGAACAGUCGCUGAAUGAUCAAAAGCCGGCUGUAGAUGGAAAGCGGUUUGAGUCACCAUAAGUGCUCGGAGGCAAGGCGACUGCCUGCCCAGAUAAGAUCUGUUUCUCAAAUUCAGGGGAAAUUAGUAUUUUUGGAUAGUUUAGCUGCUUUUCCUCUGCCCUUAGAAUGGCCUUGUUUAUGGAAUUAGAGGACAGAUUUACUGAGAGAAUAAUAGAAUUGUCUACCAUAGGAAUUACACAGGGAUUUGUUGAUUAAAAGAACUGCUCCACAGGUGUCUGUCAAGCACUGCGAAUUCAGUAGUCCUCCAAGUGACCCAUUCAUGGAAAAUCAACAUUUGUAUCAUCCUAGGACAUUUUGAAACUUUCUUUUUCUUUUUUCUUAACAUACAUUGCCUCAUCAACUCCUCCCAACAAUCUGGUAAGAUUCAAAAUUUUUAACAGGGAAAGAAAGGAAAUCAUGGGAAGUUAAAGUGAGCACCCUAAGGUCACAUGCUUGGGAAAUAUCAUAGCCAGAAAUUGAACCUUGGUCAUUUUCAC